rnacentral:rRNA from 1 species
UACGAUGGGAGGGCUAGCGUUGUCCGGAAUCAUUGGGCGUAAAGAGCGUGUAGGCGGUCCGGUAAGUCCGCUGUGAAAGUCGGGGGGCUCAACCCUCGAAUGCCGGUGGAUACUGUCGGGCUAGAGUGCGGAAGAGGCGAGUGGAAUUCCUGGUGUAGCGGUGAAAUGCGCAGAUAUCAGGAGGAACACCUAUUGCGAAGGCAGCUCGCUGGGACGUAACUGACGCUGAGACGCGAAAGCGUGGGGAGCAAACAGG